rnacentral:rRNA from 1 species
UACCGAGGGGGCAAGCGUUGUUCGGAAUUACUGGGCGUAAAGGGCGCGUAGGUGGCCUUCUAAGUUGAACGUGAAAUCCCUGGGCUCAACCCAGGAACUGCGUCCAAGACUGGGAGGCUUGAAUCCGGGAGAGGGAUGCGGAAUUCCAGGUGUAGCGGUGAAAUGCGUAGAUAUCUGGAGGAACACCGGUGGCGAAGGCGGCAUCCUGGACCGGUAUUGACACUGAGGCGCGAAAGCCAGGGGAGCAAACGGG